rnacentral:rRNA from 1 species
GUAGGGAAUAUUGGGCAAUGGAUGGAAGUCUGACCCAGCCAUCCCGCGUGCCGGAAGACGGCCCUCAGGGUUGUAAACGGCUUUUGACGGUGAAGAAUAGGCGGGAUGCGUCCUGUUUUGACGGUAGCCGUUGAAUAAGCACCGGCUAACUCCGUGCCAGCAGCCGCGGUAAUACGGAGGGUGCGAGCGUUGUCCGGAUUUAUUGGGUUUAAAGGGUGCGUAGGCUGGGAGGUAAGUCAGCGGUGAAAAGCACACGCUUAACGGGUGUCUUGCCGCAGAUACUACUUUUCUUGGAUGAGGAGGAGGUCACUGGAACGGAUGGUGUAGCGGUGAAAUGCAUAGAUAUCAUCCAGAACACCGAUUGCGAAGGCAGGUGACUGUACCUUAAUCGACGCUGAGGCACGAAAGCGUGGGGAGCGAACAGGAUUAGAAACCCCUGUAGUCC